rnacentral:rRNA from 1 species
UACGUAGGGAGCUAGCGUUGUCCGGAAUCAUUGGGCGUAAAGCGCGUGUAGGCGGUCCGGUAAGUCCGCUGUGAAAGUCGGGGGCUCAACCCUCGGAUGCCGGUGGAUACUGUCGGGCUUGAGUACGGAAGAGGCGAGUGGAAUUCCUGGUGUAGCGGUGAAAUGCGCAGAUAUCAGGAGGAACACCGGUGGCGAAGGCGGUUCUCUGGGCAUGAUCUGACGCUGAGGAGCGAAAGUGUGGGGAGCAAACAGG